GUCUAUGGCCAUACCACCCUGAAUGUGCCUGAUCUUGUCUGAUCUCAGAAGCUAAGCAGGGUCGGGCCUGAAUAGUACUUGGAUGGGAGAUAUUGCUUCUUAACU
rnacentral:rRNA from 1 species